AAACUAUGAAAAUUCAAAAAAAAGCUUCUAACUUUAUUUUAAGCGAUGAAAUUCGUUUAUAGUUUU
rnacentral:tRNA from 1 species